CACGGGGGGAGCAAGCGUUGUUCGGAAUCACUGGGCGUAAAGGGCGUGUAGGCGGUCAAGUAAGUGGGAUGUGAAAUCCCUCGGCUCACCCGAGGACCUGCAUCCCAAACUGCUUGGCUUGAGUAUGGGAGAGGAUGAGGGAAUUCCUGGUGUAGCAGUGAAAUGCGUAGAGAUCAUGAGGAAGACCAGUGGCGAAGGCGGGUCUCUGGACAGUUCCUGACACUGAGACACGAAGGCCAGGGGAGCAAACGGG
rnacentral:rRNA from 1 species